AAGCUCGUAGUUGAAUUUCGGGGUUCUACCGUUGGUCGGGCUAACAAGUCUGUACUAGCGUGUAGAAUCUCUACCUUCUGGGGAACCAUCAUGUUAUUAAUUUAGCGUGGUGGGAAACCAGGACCUUUACCUUGAAAAAAUUAGAGUGUUCAAAGCAGGCUUACGUCUGAAUACAUUAGCAUGGAAUAAUAAGAUAGGACGGUGGUCCUGUUUUGUUGGUUUCUGAAUCACCGUAAUGAUUAAUAGGGAUAGUUGGG
rnacentral:rRNA from 1 species